rnacentral:misc_RNA from 1 species
ACUUUUCAGGUAAAUUAAUAUUAAUACAAAUUGGGAUUUUUGAAAACUGCUUCUGAGGAGUGACCGCAAGAUAGGUCUUGGACCUCUUGGUUUGAUUGGGUAAUUAAAAGGUUAAGAAAUCCACUCUAAAUGAACAGCAAUAAUUGAACGUACGGAGUAAUUGAAUCAGCCAAUGACCAUGCCAUUUUUAUGAACCCCGUUUCUUGGGAAUUCCCAAACAUAAAUAUAUCUAUUCUCCUACCUGGGUGGCAGCCAUGUGGCUUGCACAUGGAGUUCUUAGUUACUUCGAAAAGUGUAUAAGAUCACUAAUUGAAGUAGCUAAAAAAAAGGCUAAAAACAGAUUACUAUUAAGGAAAGAAGGAAAUAAUUCGAAAGUUCAACUUCACAACAUCACUUAACCUGCUUGUUAGUUAGCAUUGGGCUGUCACAAACUCCAACAACAAUCCGCUCCCUUGCCAGCUCCGCCGAUGCCUACUAUUUUACUCAUCAUCAAAACAAAUUUUCCAAAAACCUUUUAAAGUUGAAUUUCCAUUCCUCGAGCGAGUUUGGAACCUAAGAAGAGAGAGAAAAGGAGAGAGAGUAAUACCUUGAGGAAAAGGCGAUGGCCGUCGUGUAAACGAUCGAAGGUGCCACCAAGAACCACCGCUCCGUAGGUAUUUGACGGUGAUAUCUUGGGAUUGACCAUGGAAUCGUCUAGCAACGCCAUUUAAUAGGAAUUAGAAGCUGUGAUUAGUAGCAGAAGUAAAAGUCGAGGGAGAAAGAGAAACAGAGGCGUCUUUGUAUACGAAGAACACAAAACCAAACGGCAAAUGGCAAAUAUAUAUAAAUUUUAUGGUUAUUUUUGUUUAAAUAAAUUUGUAUAGAUUUGUGUAGGUACAACGAACCUGGACAUUUUCUGAUGUUG